rnacentral:rRNA from 1 species
AUUGAACGCUGGCGGCAUGCUUUACACAUGCAAGUCGAACGGCAGCGCGGGCUUCGGCCUGGCGGCGAGUGGCGAACGGGUGAGUAAUGCAUCGGAACGUGCCCAGUAGUGGGGGAUAGCCCGGCGAAAGCCGGAUUAAUACCGCAUACGACCUGAGGGUGAAAGCGGGGGACCGAAAGGCCUCGCGCUAUUGGAGCGGCCGAUGUCGGAUUAGCUAGUUGGUGGGGUAAAGGCUUACCAAGGCGACGAUCCGUAACUGGUCUGAGAGGACGACCGGCCACACUGGGACUGAGACACGGCCCAGACUCCUACGGGAGGCAGCAGUGGGGAAUUUUGGACAAUGGGGGCAACCCUGAUCCAGCCAUGCCGCGUGCGGGAAGAAGGCCUUCGGGUUGCAAACCGCUUUUGUUCGGGAAGAAAUCCUCUGGGCUAAUACCCCGGGGGGAUGACGGUACCGGAAGAAUAAGCACCGGCUAACUACGUG